GGAAGUAAAAGUCUAACAAGGUUUCCGUAGGUGAACCUGCGGAAGGAUCAUUAUUGUAUAACCGAGGUGCGAGGGCUGUCGCUGACCCGAAAGGUCGUGCACGCCCGAGUGCCCUCACACACAUCCAUCUCACCCCUAUGUGCACCACCGCGUGGGUCCCCCUUUGGCUUGUUCGGAGGGGGGCUUACGUUUUCACACAAACUUUGUAUGCAGUGUAGAAUGUAUUUUUUGCUUUUGCGAUCACGCAAUCAAUACAACUUUCAACAACGGAUCUCUUGGCUCUC
rnacentral:misc_RNA from 1 species